AACGAACGCUGGCGGCAUGCUUACACAUGCAAGUCGAAGGUAGUGGCAGACGGGUGAGUAACGCGUGGGAAGUACCUUCCAGUUCGGAACAACCAUUGGAAACGAUGGUAAUACCGGAUACUGGGAGGGCAGCCCGAGUAUGAUUAGGUAGUUGGUUAGGUAAAGGCUGACCAAGCCAAUGAUCAUUAGCUGGUUUGAGAGGAUGAUCAGCCACACUGGGACUGAGACACGGCCCAGACUCCUACGGGAGGCAGCAGUGGGGAAUAUUGGACAAUGGGGGAAACCCUGAUCCAGCAAUGGCGCGGAGUGAUGAAGGCCUUCGGGUUGUAAAGCUCUUUUAUCAGGGACGCGGUACCUGAUGAAUAAGCACCGGCUAACUUCGUGCCAGCAGCCGCGGUAAUAC
rnacentral:rRNA from 1 species